UUUAGGAAAAAAGAAAGGCCUGCCCAGCGAGCUUUUGGCUGAGCUUUACGUCAGACAAAGACCACUGAGCCAACACACAUCAGGUGCCUAUGUCUUCGGGGACUGCCUGUCAUCUUGGCGGAUGAUUCUUCUGCCUUCUUCAAGACAUGCUCUGAUGUAACUGACAAGGACUCGUACAGUUAAACUCCAGUGGGAAUUCUCUGCCUGGGUUGAGAAAAUACCCAGCUCAACCCAUUCAGUGUAU